AGAAAGUUAAUUAAAUAUAUAAUAUAAAGAUGUCAAUUUUAAAUUACUAAAUAAUUAGUACUUUCUA
rnacentral:tRNA from 1 species